AGUCAAAGGAAGUUUCUCUCCUACAAUAACAAUGUAGCUCGGACCUAAGGCUUGUCCAGGGUCAGGCCCUGCACUAUAGAUUUGCAGUGCCUCUCCUGGGGAGGGGAGCCUCCCUGCCCUUUCUUCAGUAACUGGGAAGAUAAUGAGGUUUUUGGAUUUCCAUAGUCCAGGGUUACAGGUGGACAUUCCUCUGGACACACUUCCCUUUGCAGCCUGGCUUUCUGCCUGCAAUCUGCCUCACCGGGUUUCAGAUAUUUCCUCUGACUCCAGAUGAAAAAUUAACCUGAAACAAAUACCUCAAGAUGGCCACAAAGCCCUUCUGUAGGGUCCAGCUGCAGCUUUGGAAGCAGAGGCAGACCUGUGUGGGAGACAUGGGGUCAGCGCAGAUUGACCCCCUGCUCUGGUUUCAGUUCACGUGAACCAUCCUGCAAGCAGGGCGUCCAGUGGAUCCACAGAAGAGGAGAAUUCGAGGCCAACCCCUAGCUCUGCUUGGGGCAGCCAUGUGGUGGAUCGGGCUUUGGAUGAGAACAAGUGAGGAGAGCAGAGGGAAGUCGGAAGCACACAGAGUGCCAGCUCAGGUGUCAGAAUUCCCGCUGGAUGGCGACCGCGAUGGAGAGGGGACCUCUCCACCUGCACACACCAACCCUCCAGGCCAGAACUCCGCCCCUUCAGCUGAAGUCAAAGCUGAGGUUUGCCUUCUGUGCUCCCAACUGAAUUGAAUAUCUGCCUUACAAGACCCAGCUCCAGUCCGUGUCCAUGGGCUGUGCCAAAUUAAAUAAGUAUCAGAACAGAUUCCAGCUCCUGCCCUGAUCUUCUUCCAUUCCCUAGGCUGGAGCAAAAGUCCAGAUAGUUUUCCUAUUUUCUUCUGUUGCAGAAGCCAAUAUCCAAGGAACACGGUUCAUCUUAGGGGCAUGCUAAAGAUGGAAAUGGCAUGGAAAAAUAUUCUUGUGAAGCAAAAAUCCUAUGUUACCAAAAACAUCACCUGUGAAUUGUAGAUUUCUAUGUUGCUUCUGUUAAUUUCCUAUUUAUACCCAACUUGCUUUCGGUGAGUGCCUACUAUUUGAACAAUCAUGUAUUAAUGCAGUUUCUGAGAUGCCAAAUAAAGGAAAAUGGAAUGAAAA